AGUGAACGCUGGCGGUAGGCCUAACACAUGCAAGUCGAACGGCAGCACAGAGGAGCUUGCUCCUUGGGUGGCGAGUGGCGGACGGGUGAGGAAUACAUCGGAAUCUACUCUGUCGUGGGGGAUAACGUAGGGAAACUUACGCUAAUACCGCAUACGACCUACGGGUGAAAGCAGGGGAUCUUCGGACCUUGCGCGAUUGAAUGAGCCGAUGUCGGAUUAGCUAGUUGGCGGGGUAAAGGCCCACCAAGGCGACGAUCCGUAGCUGGUCUGAGAGGAUGAUCGGCCACACUGGAACUGAGACACGGUCCAGACUCCUACGGGAGGCAGCAGUGGGGAAUAUUGGACAAUGGGCGCAAGCCUGAUCCAGCCAUACCGCGUGGGUGAAGAAGGCCUUCGGGUUGUAAAGCCCUUUUGUUGUGAAAGAAAUCCAUCUGGUUAAUUCCCGGGUGGGAUGACGGUACCCAAAGAAUAAGCACCGGCUAACUUCGUGCCUGCAGCCGCCGCCG
rnacentral:rRNA from 1 species